AUAUUUACCUGGCAGGGGAGAUACCAUGAUCACAAAGGUGGUUUUCCCAGGGCGAGGCUUAUCCAUUGUACUCUGAAUGUGCUGACCCCUGUGAUUUCCCCAAAUGGGGGAAACUUGACUGCAUAAUUUGUGGUAGUAGGGGUCUGCGUUCGUGCUCUCCCCUA
rnacentral:snRNA from 1 species